rnacentral:rRNA from 1 species
UCGCCUGUUUAUCAAAAACAUGUCCUCAAGAAAAUAAUUUGAGGUCUAGCCUGCCCACUGAAUUUUUAGGGAUUUGAAGGGCCGCGGUAUUUUGACCGUGCAAAGGUAGCAUAAUCAUUAGUCUUUUAAUUGGAGGCUGGAAUGAAUGGUUGGACGAGGCAUUGACUGUCUCAGUGUAAAUGAUAUUAGAAUUUAACUUUUAAGUCAAAAGGCUUAAAUAGGUUUAAAGGACGAGAAGACCCUAUAGAGCUUUAUACUUAAUAUUUAUUAUAUAUUUAGUUGUAUUUUUGUAGUAUUUGCCAAAGUAUUUUGUUGGGGUGACAGGAAGAUAAAGUAAACUCUUUUUAAUUGUAGACCAUUGAUUUAUGAAUAGUUGAUCCAUUAUUAGUGAUUAUAAGACUAAGUUACCUUAGGGAUAACAGCGUAAUCUUUUUUGAGAGUUCUUAUCGACAAGAAGGGUUGCGACCUCGAUGUUGGAUUAAGGGUAAUUUUGGGUGUAGAUGUUCAAAGUUUAGGUCUGUUCGACCUUUAGAUCCUUACAU